GGUUUGUUUUGCUUCUUCCAGUACCCGAUGGCUCCUCGCCUCCCACAUCUCGUCGUCGCCCCCAAGAUCGGGAUCCCGCCACAUUCGCGAUAGUCGUCGAGGUUGGAUCAGAGGAAAUUUAUAUUGUUGAUCGAGACAUUGGAGUUCUUGAUGCUGCUGCUACUGGGGAAACAGAGUAUUGUUGGUCGACCGGCUUCAAGUUAACACCAGCAGAAAAUUUUGCGAGAGCUGCUUUCUGCACUGAAUGCCACCAGUUUGAAUAUUUCCUCGAUUCUGAAACCCAAGAUGGACAUGGGUUCCUCAUCCUCUGUUGCUGCUACAGCUGCCUCGGCAGUUGAGGCGCCGGAGCUGGGUAGUCAUGGGGGAGGAGAGGCCGGCCUUCUCGAAGCUGGACUCGACGUCGGUGUUGUUCUGGAGGACCGCGUAGAGGCCGGCGAUGAGAUGAAGAAGUGGACGCCCGGGCCCACCUUCUCGUACUCCUGCGGUUGCACCGUGAACGCCAUCUCCGGCGAGAGAUAGUGCCAGGGUUUUCUGUGCCGGACGGAGCCCGGAGGGUUUUUGAUAGCGGGUUCCAGUGUUUGCUGGGUUGAGGCGGAAGUCGACGAGGCCUUUGAAGAGGGGAGGGGAGGGAAGUGCGACAAAACAAAGCUUCUCCGUGGUGAAUAUGAAUAAUACUUACAGAACGUUAUCAUUUCAUAACUUAGACUAUCG